AAGUCUUUCCACUUUUCUGUGGAAAGACUUAUUGUUUUUCUUCUGAUUAUUAUUUUUUUUUCCGCCAUAUUUUGUUCUUGCGAUAAAUGUUUGUUUCGCAAUAUGUCGCUUAGAUAUUUCUCAUAUUGUAUCGUAUAGUUUUUGCGCUUUUAAAUUUCACCCUGCUAAGCCGAACCAUUUUCUUUGUAAGAGUUAUCUCCCUAUUCACUGUUUAUCAUCUGUGUGCAUCUUCUUCGUAACAAAAAAAGAUAGCGACAAAAUUCUUUUUACAAAUUGUUCGUUACAUCCUUAGUAAUUUUUGGCGUAUUUAGAUCGAAGCGAUUCGAUGAAAUUUUAUAGGAGUUAUCUACCUUUACAAAAUAAAUUUGUC
rnacentral:lncRNA from 1 species